UGCUGAGAGGGCCCUUUGGUCGCUCGGC
rnacentral:sRNA from 1 species